rnacentral:sRNA from 1 species
UGUAAGUAACACUAGUUUUCAUCCGCGGC